CACCCAGGCGCCCUGGAGAUGUGUCUUGAAAGAAGUUGCUGUGGUAGAUGUGGAAGAGGUUACUGUGUAUAUUCUCUCUAGGAUUUUGAUGGAUUCUUGUCUCACAUUGAGGUCUUUCAUCCAUUUAGAGCUUAUCUUUGUGUAU